rnacentral:lncRNA from 10 species
GUGAUAACUCCUGGCACAACCAUUAAGACCCUCAUCUAUAGUGGACUGGAACAAAGCACAGGUAAAAGGAUAUCUUUGGAUUGUGCUUUUGAACAAUUUUGUGUUUGCCUUACUUUACCGUUUUGAUAACUUUGUUAACUAUUGCUAAUUUGUUAACUUCUCUUAUUUUAGAACUUAUAAAAAAGAAAAAAGUGCACAUUCAGUUUAAUGAGGUGUUAAUUCAAGGAAUGCUGUGAGAGUCAGAAGUUCUAAAUGCCAGUGUUUAAAAAGAUCCAUGUCACAGUGAUCUUGGGUAGGCUGGGACACACCAGCUCACUGACGGACCUGAAAAUGGAUUGCUGUGGGACUACAACCCUACUCAGGAUAUUCUGAGUUAUAAGUGGUAUGCUUGGUUGUUUUGUCUUACGUACAGGGAGGAGUCACCUAAGGUAAAAAAAAAUAUAUGUAUAAAUGCCUUGGAAGGGACAAAUGACUCAAUGUUUGGUCAGGGUUCUUGGAAGGUUUGACAAAAUGAGAUCAGAGAAUAGGAAUAUGGAUGGAUUUACAGGAGCGAGCAAAA